AGGGUUUGAUCAUGGCUCAGGAUGAACGCUGGCGGCGUGCUUAACACAUGCAAGUCGAACGAACCUUCGGGUUAGUGGCGGACGGGUGAGUAACGCGUGAGAAUCUGCCCUCAGGAGGGGGAUAACGGCUGGAAACGGCCGCUAAUACCCCAUAUGCCGCGAGGUGAAAUGAAUUUCGCCUGAGGAUGAGCUCGCGUCUGAUUAGCUAGUUGGUGGGGUAAAGGCCUACCAAGGCAUCGAUCAGUAGCUGGUCUGAGAGGAUGAUCAGCCACACUGGGACUGAGACACGGCCCAGACUCCUACGGGAGGCAGCAGUGGGGAAUUUUCCGCAAUGGGCGAAAGCCUGACGGAGCAACGCCGCGUGAGGGAUGAAGGCCUCUGGGCUGUAAACCUCUUUUAUCAAGGAAGAAGAUCUGACGGUACUUGAUGAAUAAGCCACGGCUAAUUCCGUGCCAGCAGCCGCGGUAAUACGGGAGUGGCAAGCGUUAUCCGGAAUUAUUGGGCGUAAAGCGUCCGCAGGCGGCCCUUCAAGUCUGCUGUUAAAACGUGGAGCUUAACUCCAUCAUGGCAGUGGAAACUGUUGGGCUUGAGUGUGGUAGGGGCAGAGGGAAUUCCCGGUGUAGCGGUGAAAUGCGUAGAUAUCGGGAAGAACACCAGUGGCGAAGGCGCUCUGCUGGGCCAUCACUGACGCUCAUGGACGAAAGCCAGGGGAGCGAAAGGGAUUAGAUACCCCUGUAGUCCUGGCCGUAAACGAUGAACACUAGGUGUCGGGGGAAUCGACCCCCUCGGUGUCGUAGCCAACGCGUUAAGUGUUCCGCCUGGGGAGUACGCACGCAAGUGUGAAACUCAAAGGAAUUGACGGGGGCCCGCACAAGCGGUGGAGUAUGUGGUUUAAUUCGAUGCAACGCGAAGAACCUUACCAGGGUUUGACAUCCUGCGAAUCUCUUGGAAACGAGAGAGUGCCUUCGGGAGCGCAGUGACAGGUGGUGCAUGGCUGUCGUCAGCUCGUGUCGUGAGAUGUUGGGUUAAGUCCCGCAACGAGCGCAACCCACGUCUUUAGUUGCCAGCAUUCAGUUGGGCACUCUAGAGAGACCGCCGGUGAUAAACCGGAGGAAGGUGUGGAUGACGUCAAGUCAUCAUGCCCCUUACAUCCUGGGCUACACACGUACUACAAUGCUACGGACAAAGGGCAGCAAGUUCGCGAGGACAAGCAAAUCCCAUAAACCGUGGCUCAGUUCAGAUCGUAGGCUGCAACUCGCCUACGUGAAGGAGGAAUCGCUAGUAAUCGCAGGUCAGCAUACUGCGGUGAAUACGUUCCCGGGCCUUGUACACACCGCCCGUCACACCAUGGAAGUUGGCCACGCCCGAAGCCGUUACUCCAACCCUUGUGGAGGAGGGCGUCGAAGGUGGGGCUGAUGACUGGGGUGAAGUCGUAACAAGGUAGCC
rnacentral:rRNA from 1 species